UAAGACGUAGGAUGCAAGCGUUGUCCGGAUUUAUUGGGCGUAAAGAGUUCGUAGGCGGUUCAUUAAGUCUGGUGUAAAAGACUGGGGCUCAACCCUGGGAUCGCACUGGAUACUGGUGGACUGGAGUGCAGUAGAGGCAAGCGGAAUUCCCAGUGUAGCGGUGAAAUGCGUAGAUAUUGGGAAGAACACCGGUGGCGUAAGCGGCUUGCUGGGCUGUAACUGACGCUGAGGAACGAAAGCUAGGGGAGCAAAUGGGAUUAGAUACCCCAGUAGUCCUAGCUGUAAACGAUGGAUACUAGGCGUAUCGGGUAUCGACCCCUGAUGUGCCGCAGCAAACGCGAUAAGUAUCCCGCCUGAGUAGUACGGCCGCAAGGUUG
rnacentral:rRNA from 1 species